UACGUAGGGUCCGAGCGUUGUCCGGAAUUAUUGGGCGUAAAGAGCUCGUAGGCGGUUUGUCGCGUCUGCUGUGAAAUCCCGAGGCUCAACCUCGGGUCUGCAGUGGGUACGGGCAGACUGGAGUGCGGUAGGGGAGAAUGGAAUUCCUGGUGUAGCGGUGGAAUGCGCAGAUAUCAGGAGGAACACCGAUAGCGAAGGCAGCUCGCUGGGACGGUACUGACGCUGAGGCGCGAAAGCGAGGGGAGCGAACAGG
rnacentral:rRNA from 1 species